UUAUAAAGGAGGGGUGAGCUUUAGAUUCAUAUGAAAAAAUAUAAAAAACUAACUGCGUUAUAAAGGAAUUUGCAAACCUCCCAAGUUUGUUCCCUGCGAAUGUGGUUUUAAUCCAGAGCAACGAAUUCUGCAGACUCACGUCGUAGGGCCAUUCCUAAUCACACACUGCUCCCUCCCCACACCCGUCCUGGCAGCAGAGCGGGGGGUGGGGGGGGGGUGGUUGGCACGUCCCAGAGCGGCAGCUGCAGCCGAUUAUGGUUCAGCUGAGGGCUGUGUCUUCUUUUCCAUCCGCCUCCUCCCUUUCAAAAUCCGUCAGCGGACACUCAUGGAAGCAGACCCAGAAGCUCUGGCCAAGGCUUGGGCUCGGGAAAUGCACUUUCCCCUCCUUCUUUUCAGGACAGAGAAGGCCAAGAAGGCCAUAAAGAGGGGCCAACGGGCGGCAAGAAGCCUCUUGAGGUUUCCUGUGUGUCCCCGUCCGUCCAUCAGCUGGUGAGCCUGUCUCAGACGCAGCAUGACAGUCACUAGAAAAGGCCCAGGAUGGCCUCAAGCUGUGCUCACAUGCGUCGUUGCUCAAGUACUCUGCACUGGUCUAGUCCAGACGUUCAGUACCUGGCGUGGCGCGGGCCCUGUCCACCUCACUGGCCGACUCUCCAGGACCUGAUCUGUUCUCCAGAGUGGCUGUUCCAUUUUCCACUCCCAUGGGAAACACCUGAGUGAUUCAGCUUUUCCGCAUCCUCAUCAACAUUUGGAGCUGUCGCUCUUUAUUUUAGCCAUUGUGGUAGGUGUCCAGUGAUGUCCCAUUGUGGUUUCACGUUGUGUUUCCCUGAGGGCUGAUGACACUGAGCAUCUUUCAUGAGCUUAUUUGCCGUCCCUGCACCCUCUUCAGUGAGAGGUCUCUUAAUAUCUUCU
rnacentral:lncRNA from 1 species